rnacentral:rRNA from 1 species
CUCCUUUGACGUUAGCGGCGGACGGGUGAGUAACACGUGGGUAACCUACCUAUAAGACUGGGAUAACUUCGGGAAACCGGAGCUAAUACCGGAUAAUAUUUCGAACCGCAUAGUUCGAUAGUGAAAGGUGGUUUUGCUAUCACUUAUAGAUGGACCCGCGCCGUAUUAGCUAGUUGGUAAGGUAACGGCUUACCAAGGCGACGAUACGUAGCCGACCUGAGAGGGUGAUCGGCCACACUGGAACUGAGACACGGUCCAGACUCCUACGGGAGGCAGCAGGU